AACGAACGCUGGCGGCAGGCUUACCACAUCCCCUUCGACCGAGCUGGGGGCUUCGGUCCCCUAUGCUAGUGGCGCACGGGUGAGUCACACGUGGGAAUAUGCCCUUUAGUACGGCCUAACCAAGGGAAACUUUGGCUACUACCGCAUACGCCCUUCCCUGGAAAGAUUUAUCACUAAAGGAUUAGCCCCCGUCUGAUUCGGUAGUUGUUGAGGUAAUGGCUCACCAAGCCGACGAUGAGUAGCCGGUCGGCGAGGAGGAUCAGCCACACAGGGACUGAGACACGGCCCAGACUCCGACGGGAGGCAGAAGAGGGGAAUAUAGGACAACGGGGGCAACCCUGAUCAAGCCAUGCCGCGUGAGUGAAGAAGGCAUUCGAGUUGUAAAGCUCGUUCGACGGGGACGAUGAUGACGGUACCCGUAUAAGAAGCCCCGGCAAACGUCGUG
rnacentral:rRNA from 1 species